rnacentral:lncRNA from 1 species
CAUCCGGUGAGGAGCCCGACUGCUUCGAGGACCCAGCCUUCUCCUCUCCCUACCAUCCCCCCCGCGCCUCCGGGGCUGGGGGACGGGCUCCACGAGGCAGAGGUGGGAGCAUCCUCAGGGUCAGAGCUGAACGCGUCGCCUCCGGAGCCUCCCAGCCCCAACCCAGGAAAGAGGCUGCUCCGGGGCGGGAGGCUGGGCUGGACCCCUCGCCUUGGAGAGCUUCAUUAGGACACCGGCGUUUUACUGGAAGAUGUGGGUGAUUUCCGCUCCUGGGGACCUUAGGAGGCCAACAAAGCCUGUCACCGCUUUACAGUUUGGAGACACAAUGUGGAUUUUCUGGUGGCCUGAGACGUCUUUCUUCCGCUGCGCAGCCUGACCAGGCAGCGAGGCUAGUGAAGCGGGGCUGCGAGGAGCCGGGCGGGCUGUGCGGCCCCCUUUCCAGCAGGGAGAACCCAGAUGCCGCUCGACCUGUCCUGGACCACGGAGCUAACUGGGAAUGCGUUUCUGGGAAAUUCUUCCAGAUUCGGGACCUCAAGAAAUCCACUAUCCUCCAUGGAGACAGACACCGUCAAGGACAAGCACCUGGACUAUCUCCUCCCCACAAAGAGAUACAGGCCGGUGGGAAAGCUGCUGACCAGCAAGGUCACGGGCUCCCUUCUCUCUGCAAGUGUCUCAAGGCCAAAGACAGGCUGGUGGGAAAGCUCCGACCAGCAAGGCCAUAUGCUCCCCUUCCCUACCUAAAACCCCAAAUAAAAACCCUUCCUUUUAGCUUUUCGGGGAGUUUGGGCUUUCAGCGUUAGCUGCCCUCUCUCCUUGCUCAGUGCUGUGCAAAAAUAAAAUGCCUCCUUUCUUCCGCC